rnacentral:rRNA from 1 species
UUAAGCGACUAAGCGUACACGGUGGAUGCCCUGGCAGUCAGAGGCGAUGAAGGACGUGCUAAUCUGCGAUAAGCGUCGGUGAGGUGAUAUGAACCGUUAUAACCGGCGAUUUCCGAAUGGGGAAACCCAGUGUGUUUCGACACACUAUCAUUAACUGAAUCCAUAGGUUAAUGAGGCGAACCGGGGGAACUGAAACAUCUAAGUACCCCGAGGAAAAGAAAUCAACCGAGAUUCCCCCAGUAGCGGCGAGCGAACGGGGAGGAGCCCAGAGCCUGAAUCAGUGUGUGUGUUAGUGGAAGCGUCUGGAAAGGCGUGCGAUACAGGGUGACAGCCCCGUACACAAAAAUGCACAUAUUGUGAGCUCGAUGAGUAGGGCGGGACACGUGGUAUCCUGUCUGAAUAUGGGGGGACCAUCCUCCAAGGCUAAAUACUCCUGACUGACCGAUAGUGAACCAGUACCGUGAGGGAAAGGCGAAAAGAACCCCGGCGAGGGGAGUGAAAAAGAACCUGAAACCGUGUACGUACAAGCAGUGGGAGCCUCUUAAUGGGGUGACUGCGUACCUUUUGUAUAAUGGGUCAGCGACUUAUAUUCUGUAGCAAGGUUAACCGAAUAGGGGAGCCGAAGGGAAACCGAGUCUUAACUGGGCGUUAAGUUGCAGGGUAUAGACCCGAAACCCGGUGAUCUAGCCAUGGGGCAGGUUGAAGGUUGGGUAACACUAACUGGAGGACCGAACCGACUAAUGUUGAAAAAUUAGCGGAUGACUUGUGGCUGGGGGUGAAAGGCCAAUCAAACCGGGAGAUAGCUGGUUCUCCCCGAAAGCUAUUUAGGUAGCGCCUCGUGAAUUCAUCUCCGGGGGUAGAGCACUGUUUCGGCAAGGGGGUCAUCCCGACUUACCAACCCGAUGCAAACUGCGAAUACCGGAGAAUGUUAUCACGGGAGACACACGGCGGGUGCUAACGUCCGUCGUGAAGAGGGAAACAACCCAGACCGCCAGCUAAGGUCCCAAAGUCAUGGUUAAGUGGGAAACGAUGUGGGAAGGCCCAGACAGCCAGGAUGUUGGCUUAGAAGCAGCCAUCAUUUAAAGAAAGCGUAAUAGCUCACUGGUCGAGUCGGCCUGCGCGGAAGAUGUAACGGGGCUAAACCAUGCACCGAAGCUGCGGCAGCGACGCUUAUGCGUUGUUGGGUAGGGGAGCGUUCUGUAAGCCUGUGAAGGUGUACUGUGAGGUAUGCUGGAGGUAUCAGAAGUGCGAAUGCUGACAUAAGUAACGAUAAAGCGGGUGAAAAGCCCGCUCGCCGGAAGACCAAGGGUUCCUGUCCAACGUUAAUCGGGGCAGGGUGAGUCGACCCCUAAGGCGAGGCCGAAAGGCGUAGUCGAUGGGAAACAGGUUAAUAUUCCUGUACUUGGUGUUACUGCGAAGGGGGGACGGAGAAGGCUAUGUUGGCCGGGCGACGGUUGUCCCGGUUUAAGCGUGUAGGCUGGUUUUCCAGGCAAAUCCGGAAAAUCAAGGCUGAGGCGUGAUGACGAGGCACUACGGUGCUGAAGCAACAAAUGCCCUGCUUCCAGGAAAAGCCUCUAAGCAUCAGGUAACAUCAAAUCGUACCCCAAACCGACACAGGUGGUCAGGUAGAGAAUACCAAGGCGCUUGAGAGAACUCGGGUGAAGGAACUAGGCAAAAUGGUGCCGUAACUUCGGGAGAAGGCACGCUGAUAUGUAGGUGAAGCGACUUGCUCGUGGAGCUGAAAUCAGUCGAAGAUACCAGCUGGCUGCAACUGUUUAUUAAAAACACAGCACUGUGCAAACACGAAAGUGGACGUAUACGGUGUGACGCCUGCCCGGUGCCGGAAGGUUAAUUGAUGGGGUUAGCGGUAACGCGAAGCUCUUGAUCGAAGCCCCGGUAAACGGCGGCCGUAACUAUAACGGUCCUAAGGUAGCGAAAUUCCUUGUCGGGUAAGUUCCGACCUGCACGAAUGGCGUAAUGAUGGCCAGGCUGUCUCCACCCGAGACUCAGUGAAAUUGAACUCGCUGUGAAGAUGCAGUGUACCCGCGGCAAGACGGAAAGACCCCGUGAACCUUUACUAUAGCUUGACACUGAACAUUGAGCCUUGAUGUGUAGGAUAGGUGGGAGGCUUUGAAGUGUGGACGCCAGUCUGCAUGGAGCCGACCUUGAAAUACCACCCUUUAAUGUUUGAUGUUCUAACGUUGGCCCCUGAUCGGGGUUGCGGACAGUGUCUGGUGGGUAGUUUGACUGGGGCGGUCUCCUCCUAAAGAGUAACGGAGGAGCACGAAGGUUGGCUAAUCCUGGUCGGACAUCAGGAGGUUAGUGCAAUGGCAUAAGCCAGCUUGACUGCGAGCGUGACGGCGCGAGCAGGUGCGAAAGCAGGUCAUAGUGAUCCGGUGGUUCUGAAUGGAAGGGCCAUCGCUCAACGGAUAAAAGGUACUCCGGGGAUAACAGGCUGAUACCGCCCAAGAGUUCAUAUCGACGGCGGUGUUUGGCACCUCGAUGUCGGCUCAUCACAUCCUGGGGCUGAAGUAGGUCCCAAGGGUAUGGCUGUUCGCCAUUUAAAGUGGUACGCGAGCUGGGUUUAGAACGUCGUGAGACAGUUCGGUCCCUAUCUGCCGUGGGCGCUGGAGAACUGAGGGGGGCUGCUCCUAGUACGAGAGGACCGGAGUGGACGCAUCACUGGUGUUCGGGUUGUCAUGCCAAUGGCACUGCCCGGUAGCUAAAUGCGGAAGAGAUAAGUGCUGAAAGCAUCUAAGCACGAAACUUGCCCCGAGAUGAGUUCUCCCUGAGACUUUAAGUCUCCUGAAGGAACGUUGAAGACGACGACGUUGAUAGGCCGGGUGUGUAAGCGCAGCGAUGCGUUGAGCUAACCGGUACUAAUGAACCGUGAGGCUUAACCUU